rnacentral:tRNA from 1 species
UCCCUUGUAGCCAAGUUGGUAAGGAAUCUGCCUGCAGUGCAGGAGACCUGGGUUCAAUUCCCGGGUGGGGAA